UCUGGUGACUAUAGCAAGGAGGUCACACCUGUUCCCAUGCCGAACACAGAAGUUAAGCUCCUUAGCGUCGAUGGUA
rnacentral:rRNA from 1 species